rnacentral:rRNA from 1 species
UCAUGCAGUCGACGCGUUGGCCUAAUUGAUUGAUGGUGCUUGCACCUGAUUGAUUUUGGUUGCCAACGAGUGGCGGACGGGUGAGUAACACGUAGGUAACCUGCCCAGAAGCGGGGGACAACAUUUGGAAACAGAUGCUAAUACCGCAUAACAGCGUUGUUCGCAUGAACAACGCUUAAAAGAUGGCUUCUCGCUAUCACUUCUGGAUGGACCUGCGGUGCAUUAGCUUGUUGGUGGGGUAACGGCCUACCAAGGCGAUGAUGCAUAGCCGAGUUGAGAGACUGAUCGGCCACAAUGGGACUGAGACACGGCCCAUACUCCUACGGGAGGCAGCAGUAGGGAAUCUUCCACAAUGGGCGCAAGCCUGAUGGAGCAACACCGCGUGAGUGAAGAAGGGUUUCGGCUCGUAAAGCUCUGUUGUUAAAGAAGAACACGUAUGAGAGUAACUGUUCAUACGUUGACGGUAUUUAACCAGAAAGUCACGGCUAACUACGUGCCAGCAGCCGCGGUAAUACGUAGGUGGCAAGCGUUAUCCGGAUUUAUUGGGCGUAAAGAGAGUGCAGGCGGUUUUCUAAGUCUGAUGUGAAAGCCUUCGGCUUAACCGGAGAAGUGCAUCGGAAACUGGAUAACUUGAGUGCAGAAGAGGGUAGUGGAACUCCAUGUGUAGCGGUGGAAUGCGUAGAUAUAUGGAAGAACACCAGUGGCGAAAGGCGGCUACCUGGUCUGCAACUGACGCUGAGACGUAAACGAUGAGUGCUAGGUGUUGGAGGGUUUCCGCCCUUCAGUGCCGGAGCUAACGCAUUAAGCACUCCGCCUGGGGAGUACGACCGCAAGGUUGAAACUCAAAGGAAUUGACGGGGGCCCGCACAAGCGGUGGAGCAUGUGGUUUAAUUCGAAGCUACGCGAAGAACCUUACCAGGUCUUGACAUCUUGCGCCAACCCUAGAGAUAGGGCGUUUCCUUCGGGAACGCAAUGACAGGUGGUGCAUGGUCGUCGUCAGCUCGUGUCGUGAGAUGUUGGGUUAAGUCCCGCAACGAGCGCAACCCUUGUUACUAGUUGCCAGCAUUAAGUUGGGCACUCUAGUGAGACUGCCGGUGACAAACCGGAGGAAGGUGGGGACGACGUCAGAUCAUCAUGCCCCUUAUGACCUGGGCUACACACGUGCUACAAUGGACGGUACAACGAGUCGCGAACUCGCGAGGGCAAGCAAAUCUCUUAAAACCGUUCUCAGUUCGGACUGCAGGCUGCAACUCGCCUGCACGAAGUCGGAAUCGCUAGUAAUCGCGGAUCAGCAUGCCGCGGUGAAUACGUUCCCGGGCCUUGUACACACCGCCCGUCACACCAUGAGAGUUUGUAACACCCAAAGUC